rnacentral:rRNA from 1 species
GGUGUGGACCGGCCGUCUCCUCCCUUCUGCCGCCGAUGCUCUCCUGGCCUUAAUUGGCCGGGUCCUGCCACCGGCGCUCUUACUUUGAAGAAAUUUUAGUGCUCAAAGCGCGCCUACACUCUCUAUACAUUUUAAUGGGGUAACACCUCAGGAUUUCUCUAUUCUUUUGUUGUGCCCCUCGGGAUGAGAAAUGAGAAAAAGGGGGACACUGGGGCAUUCUUAUUUUUUAGUCUCAGGUGAAAUUUUCGUGGAUAUGAGAAACAAAAAACUCUGAAAACGUUUGCCAAGGAUGUUUUCUUAUAUCAAGAAAAAAAGUUGGGGGCUAGAAGGAUAUCAGACACUGUCAUUGUCUCCACCAUAAGAGACGCCGACCAGGUAUCAGCGGAUGUUAUUUUUAAGUCUCCGGGCGCACCUUGUGAAAAAUAAAUGUCUUGGGUUUCGGGGGGGAGUAGGGUCGCAAGGGUGAAACUUAAAGGAAUAGAGGGAAGGGCCCCCCCGGGAGGGGCGCGUGGGGUUUUAUUUGUCUCCACAGGGGGAAACUUCCCAGGUCCAGACAUAGUAAGGAUUGACAGAUUGAGAUCUCUUUUGAGAUUCUAUGGGUGGUGGUGCAUGGCCGUUCUUAGUUGGUGGAGCGAUUUGUGUGGUUAAUUCCGUUAACGAAGGAGUCAUCAGCCUGAUAACUAGCUAGGAGGAGGUAUCCCUCCGUGGCCAGCUUGUUAGAGGGAGGAUGGC